rnacentral:rRNA from 1 species
GACGAACGCUGGCGGCGUGCUUAACACAUGCAAGUCGAACGGAAAGGCCCUGCUUGCAGGGUACUCGAGUGGCGAACGGGUGAGUAACACGUGGGUGAUCUGCCCUGCACUUCGGGAUAAGCCUGGGAAACUGGGUCUAAUACCGGAUAGGAGCCAUUUUUAGUGUGAUUGUUGGAAAGUUUUUUCGGUGUAGGAUGAGCUCGCGGCCUAUCAGCUUGUUGGUGGGGUAAUGGCCUACCAAGGCGGCGACGGGUAGCCGGCCUGGGAGGGUGGACGGCCACAUUGGGACUGAGAUACGGCCCAGACUCCUACGGGAGGCAGCAGUGGGGAAUAUUGCACAAUGGGCGCAAGCCUGAUGCAGCGACGCCGCGUGGGGGAUGACGGCCUUCGGGUUGUAAACUCCUUUCGCUAGGGACGAAGCUUUUUGUGACGGUACCUAGAUAAGAAGCACCGGCUAACUACGUG